AGUGAACGCUGGCGGUAGGCCUAACACAUGCCAGUCGAACGGCAGCACAGUAAGAGCUUGCUCUUACGGGUGGCGAGUGGCGGACGGGUGAGGAAUACAUCGGAAUCUACUUUUUCGUGGGGGAUAACGUAGGGAAACUUACGCUAAUACCGCAUACGACCUACGGGUGAAAGCAGGAGAUCUUCGGACCUUGCGCGACUGAAUGAGCCGAUGUCGGAUUAGCUAGUUGGCGGGGUAAAGGCCCACCAAGGCGACGAUCCGUAGCUGGUCUGAGAGGAUGAUCAGCCACACUGGAACUGAGACACGGUCCAGACUCCUACGGGAGGCAGCAGUGGGGAAUAUUGGACAAUGGGCGCAAGCCUGAUCCAGCCAUACCGCGUGGGUGAAGAAGGCCUUCGGGUUGUAAAGCCCUUUUGUUGGGAAAGAAAAGCAGCAGGUUAAUACCCCGCUGUUCUGACGGUACCCAAAGAAUAAGCACCGGCUAACUUCGUG
rnacentral:rRNA from 1 species